rnacentral:misc_RNA from 1 species
AAAAUAAUCCUACCCUUUGUGAAUUUUGUUUGUUUGAAUAAUUUUUUUUUUAAAAAAUUAUUGGAGUCUUUCCCUUUAGAGUUUGCUUUUGAGUUUGUAAAAGAAUUCGAAAACAUCUAAAGGGGAUGGUCAAUAAUUUUUUUUGAAAAAAGACAUUUUUUAAAAUUAAACUUUUUGUAUUCAUUUGUCUAAAAAUUAUUUUUAUAAUAUAAAAACAACUUUUGACAAUGGAUCUCUUGGUUCUCGCAACGAUGAAGAACGCAGCAAAAUGCGAUAAGUAGUGUGAAUUGCAGAAUACGUGAAUCAUCGAAUCUUUGAACGCAUAUUGCACUUUUUAGUUUACUAAAAAAGUAUGUCUGUUUGAGUAUCAGUAAAAUAUUCUCAUAAAAAUCAUUGUGUAUUUUUAUGGUUAUGAGUGUUUUACAACGAUACAAGUUGUUUCACUUUAAAUUUUUUUUAAUAUUGAAAUUUUUCUAAUUUUAAUAAUUAAAAUUGGAUAAAAUUUUCCCGUCAAAAGGAAUAACCUAAACAAUUUUAAAUGAUUAAUUUUAGCAAAAUUUUCGAAAAAAGGAAAAUUUUUAUUAAAAUAACUUGAUCUUAAAUCAGAUAAGAGUACCCGCUGAACUUAAGCAUAUCAAUAAGCGGAGGAAAAGAAACUAACAAGGAUUCCCUUAGUAACGGCGAGUGAAGCGGGAAGAGCUCAAAUUUGAAAUCUUCAAGGUUUUACCUUGACGAAUUGUAGUUUAAAGAAGUGUUUUCUGCUGAAGUUUUGGUAAAAGUUCUUUGGAAUAGGACAUCAUAGAGGGUGAGAAUCCCGUAUUUGACCAUUAUUUUCAGCUUUGUGAUACACUUUCAAAGAGUCGGAUUGUUUGGGAAUGCAGUCCAAAAUGGGCGGUAAAUUUCAUCUAAAGCUAAAUAUUGGCGAGAGACCGAUAGCGAACAAGUACCGUGAGGGAAAGAUGAAAAGAACUUUGAAAAGAGAGUUAAACAGUACGUGAAAUUGUCAAAAGGGAAGCGUUUGACACCAGUGUUGUUUUCUCGAAAAUCAAUUAAAAAUGGCUCGAUUUUGUAUUGCUGAGACCUUAAAAGCUCACUGUACAUUUUUCGUGUCUUUUUUAAUGCACUUCUCGUUUAACAAGUCAACAUCAGUUUCUUUUGUUGUAAAAGGGUCAUUGGAAGGUGGCUUUCUUUUCGGAGAAAGUGUUUAUAGCCUUUGGCCUCUGCAAUCGAGAGACUGAGGUCUGCAGCGUAGACUCUUCGGGGUUAGAUACAUUUGUGCUAAGUUAUAGCUUUUUAUAGUCAACUUGUUGACUAUAAUUAGCCUUGUAGCUUACUCGCUUAUGCUAUUU